rnacentral:tRNA from 1 species
GCCCGCAUAGAUCAGUCGGUAGAACAUCAGACUUUUAAUCUGAGGGUCGCGGGUUCGAAUCACUCUGCGGGCG